rnacentral:lncRNA from 1 species
UUCAAUUCACAUUUCAUUUUAAGUGCAAUCCAACAUUUCAAUUCAUAUACAUUUUGUACAUUUUGCAUUCAAAUUAUAACAUACAUUUCCAAUCAUAUUUUCAACAUCAAUUGGCAAAUCCCAUUCAUAUUGUUUCAAUUACAACAAAUCCAUGGUUUACAUGUACAUUACAAUGUUUAAUUCACAAAUUUACAAAAAAAUUACAAACGCUAAGUCCAUUCUCCAUGCCAAAACAAUCUCCAAGCCAAUUCCAAGCUCCAUUCCAUAUGCCUAGCAAGCAAUUCCUCAAACCAUUUCCAACACAAGCAAGCAUGAGUAACUCCAAAACAUCCCUGCACUUCACAACAAAUUCAAAGCCCAGUUAAACAUUCAAACCAAUUUCAAUUACUCAUUAACCAAACUAACAAUUUGAAAAUUCAACAAGUUAACAAUUGGAAGCAAAAUUUCAUUAACAAAAAAAAUCAUUUUUUCCAUUCCACUGUAAAUUUACACGCAAAUGACAUUAAUUGAAAUUGAAGCUAAAUUCAAAUUGAAACUAAAUUCAUUCUCACCAUUUGAAUUUGAAUCUCUAACUAAAAUGCAUUUGUAACUAACUGAUAAUUUGAGGUGAAUUUCAUUUGGAUUUGGUAACAGAAAUUUCUAUUGCUAUAAAUAUCAUUCUUCACUCAUUUCAUAAAAAAAUCCAAAAUCAUUUCUUCAAACUUCUUCAUUCAAUCAUCGAAUACACAAAAUCCUCUUCACGCAAGCAUCAAAUUCAUGCAAAACGCAAAUGAAACUCACAUAAACAACAAACAACGCAACAUAAGGAGCAUAAUUUAGAGACGAGGAAGAAGUGUGCAAAGAAUUUGUACAUGUUCUUACAAGUCGCGUCGAAACCGGCGACUCUUCAUUCUUCUUACUUCAAUCUACAAUUUAUUUCGAUUUCGCGUCGACGCCAUUGCAAUUUUGAUAUUUGUUGUUGGACGCAAUUUGAAUCCGUGAAUUGAAGUUUCAAAUCAUUGAAUUGAGAUGAUGUUGGUGAAGGAAAAUCCAUGAGCGACGAGGUUGAGUUCUGAACGCGAAUCAUGAGCGGAGGAAAAAAACACGCGAUGUUGAUGUUGCUAACUUAUGGAAUCAGCGCGUUUUGAGCGUUCUUCAUGUUUGAACGCGAAAUAAUCGAUUGAGAACGAAGGUGGAAAACGCGAUGUCGAAGGUGGAAGAAUUGCGUUGCUCUGGCUUUUUACAUAAGCGAUUUUCUUUUCCAUUUGGUUUCAGCUAUGUGUACGCGUUCUUUGUUGAUGUCCUUUGGAUUCAGUAUGGGCCUAAGGCCCAAAC